UACGGGGGGGGCAAGCGUUGUUCGGAAUUACUGGGCGUAAAGGCGCGUAGGCGGCCUUCUAAGUCGGACGUGAAAUCCCUCGGCUUAACCGAGGAACUGCGUCCGAUACUGAAAGGCUUGAAUCCGGGAGAGGGAUGUGGAAUUCCAGGUGUAGCGGUGAAAUGCGUAGAUAUCUGGAGGAACACCGGUGGCGAAGGCGGCAUCCUGGACCGACACUGACGCUGAGGCGCGAAAGCUAGGGGAGCAAACGGG
rnacentral:rRNA from 1 species